GUGCCUAAUACAUGCAAGUAGAACGCUGACUACUUUAGCUUGCUAAAGUUGGAAGAGUUGCGUUCGGGUGAGUAACGCGUAGGUAACCUGCCUACUAGCGGGGGAUAACUAUUGGAAACGAUAGCUAAUACCGCAUAACAGCAUUUAACCCAUGUUAGAUGCUUGAAAGGAGCAAUUGCUUCACUAGUAGAUGGACCUGCGUUGUAUUAGCUAGUUGGUGAGGUAACGGCUCACCAAGGCGACGAUACAUAGCCGACCUGAGAGGGUGAUCGGCCACACUGGGACUGAGACACGGCCCAGACUCCUACGGGAGGCAGCAGUAGGGAAUCCUCGGCCUUGGGGGCAACCCUGACCGAGCCAACGCCCGCGUGAGUGAAGAAGGUUUUCGGAUUGUAAAGUUCUGUUGUAAGAGAAGAACGUGUGUGAGAGUGGAAAGUUCACACAGUGACGGAAACUUACCAGAAAGGGACGGCUAAAUACGUGCCAGCAGCCGCGGUAAUACGUAUGUUCCAAGCGUUAUCCGGAUUUAUUGGGCGUAAAGCGAGCGCAGACGGUUAUUUAAGUCUGAAGUGAAAGCCCUCAGCUCAAUUGAGGAAUUGCUUUGGAAACUGGAUGACUUGAGUGCAGUAGAGGAAAGUGGAACUCCAUGUGUAGCGGUGAAAUGCGUAGAUAUAUGGAAGAACACCAGUGGCGAAGGCGGCUUUCUGGACUGUAACUGACGUUGAGGCUCGAAAGUGUGGGUAGCAAACAGGAUUAGAUACCCUGGUAGUCCACACCGUAAACGAUGAGUGCAAGGUGUUUGA
rnacentral:rRNA from 1 species